AUCCACCUGACGAGUCUCAAAUAGGACGAAACGCGCGUCCUGGAU
rnacentral:hammerhead_ribozyme from 1 species